GGCUAAGAUCAAAAACUCAGGAGAAAAUGUGCUGGCGAGUAUGUGGAGAAAGAGAAAUACUCUUCCACUGCUGGUGGGGUUGCAAGCUGGUACAAGCACUCUGGAAAUCGGUCUGGCGGUUCCUCAGAAAACUGGGCAUGAUACUACUGGAGGACCCUACUAUACCACUCCUGGGCAUAUACCCAGAGGAUUCCCCAGCAUGUAAUAAGGACACAUGCUCCACUAUGUUCAUAGCAGCCGUAUUUAUAAUAGCCAGAAGCUGGAAAGAACCCAGAUGUCCUUCAGCAGAGGAAUGGAUACAGAAAAUGUAGUAUAUUUACACUAUGGAAUACUCCUUAGCUAUUAAAAACAAUGAGUUCAUGAAAUUCUUAGGCAAGUGGGUGGAACUGGAGAAUGUCAUCUUGAGUGAGGUGAUCCAAUCAUAAGAGAACACACAUGGUAUGCAGUCACUGAUAAGUGGAUAUUAGCCCAGAAGCUCGGAAUACCCAAGAAACAAUUCACAUAUCAGAUGAUGCCCAAGAAGAAGGAAGGAGAGGCCUUUGGUCCUGGAAAGGCUCAGUGCAGCAGUGUAGGGGAAUACCAGGACAAGGAAGUGGGAAGGGGUUGAUUGGGGAACGGAGAGGGAAGAGAGCUUAUGGGACUUUCAGGAAGGGGGAUCAGGAAAGGGGAAAUCAUUUGAAAUGUAAAUAAAUAUAAAAAAAAUCUAGCCUUGUGAAGUAGAAGGGAUGGCAGUGAGGUAAUGAGUGAGGUGGAAAAUUGAAUUACUUACUCUUAAAAUUGACAAAGUUUUUAGUGUUGUUGGAAGUUUUCUUUAAAGGACAUUGGUUUUUAAGACAUGGAAGACAUGGAGGGUCUGAGAAUGUAGUUCAAGGGAGUAUAUGCCUCUGUCGUGUGAAGGGCAGUCUAAGGUAAAACAUGCCUAUGUCAUGUGAGGGGCAGUCUAAGGUAGAACAUGCCUAUGUCAUGUGAGGGGCAGUCUAAGGUAAAACAUGCCUUUGUUGUGUGAGGGGCAGUCUAAGGGAGAACAUGCCUAUGUCAUGUGAGGGGCAGUCUAAGAUAGAACAUGCCUAUGUCAUGUGAGGAGCAGUCUAAGGUAGAACAUGCCUAUGUCGUGUGAGGAGCAGUCUAAGGUAGAACAUGCCUGUGUCGUGUGAGGAGCAGUCUAAGGUAGAACAUGCCUGUGUCGUGUGAGGGGCAGUCUAAGGUAGAACAUGCCUGUGUCGUGUGAGGGGCAGUCUAAGGUAGAACAUGCCUGUGUCGUGUGAAGGGCAGUCUAAGGUAGAACAUGCCAAUGUCAUGUGAGGGGCAAUCUAAUGCCUAUGUCAUGUGGGGGGCAGUGUAAGCACUAAAAAAGGAACAGUAGAUGGCAACAGUUACAUAGCAGAUUUAAAAAUAAAUCGAUCUUGCAUUAUAUUGUCUUUUAAAAAUGGCACAAGAAAGGUCUUCCUUGUUGUGAUAAGAUAUCUAGAUAACUUUUGCAUGAAGUCCCACUGUACUUCUCCCCAGGCCUCUCUGCACAUGUAUACAUGUCCCUUCCUCCUGUCACCCUGUCUUAGUUAGGGUUUUACUGCUGUAAACAGACAACCAUGACCAAAGCAAGUCUUAUACGGGCAGCAUUUAAUUGUGGCUGCUUACAGGUUCAGAGGUUCAAGGCAGGAGCAUGGCAGCAGCGAAGCUGGGAGUUGUACAUCUUCAUCUAAAGGAUGAAGGCUGCUAGCAGAAUACUGGCUUUUAGGCAGUUAGGACGAGGGUCUCAAAGCACACACCCUCAGCGAUAACACCUACUCCAACAAGGCCACACUUCCAAGUAGUGCCACUCUCUGGGCCAAGCGUAGACCAACCAUCACAUCCCCCAGCCAUGCCAAGUCCUUAGUACCAUUCAGUCAGGAAGAAAGAGCCAGGGCAUGGUAGCUCACACCUAUAGUCUCAGCAUUCGGGAAGCUGAAGCAAGGUCACUGUGACAUCAAGGGCAGCCUGGGCUGCCUAGUGAGUCCCAAUAUAGCCUGGGCUAGGGAGUAAAACCCUGUCUCAAACCAAACCAGCAGCAUCAAGUAGAUAGGGAGCUAUAAGUAGCUGGUGAGUCACUGGGCAGCAGCGGGCAAGGCAGAGGGUCCUGGUUGUUCUGAGGUGAAAUGUUUUUUCUCCAGAAAGUGAAGACCUAAUGGCAGGCAUUCUACAAUGAGUGUCAGACUAGAGCAUUGGGACAGCAUGUGCCCGGGGAAUUACGGUGUCACUAGGGAUUGAACUCCGCCUUCCAUGGACAUACUGCAGUACUGACUAAAUUAUCACAUGGACAAGGCUUUGGUGUUUGUAUUGUUUAUGCCUAGACUGGACACUCCUCUUCAUCACUCACCCCACUUUCUGUGUU